AGAUUGAACGCUGGCGGCAUGCCUAACACAUGCAAGUCGAACGGGAGUAGCAAUACUCUAGUGGCGGACGGGUGAGGAAUACGUAGGAAUUUGCCCUUAAGUGGGGGAUAACCCGGGGAAACCCGGAUUAAUACCGCAUGACCUCGAAAGAGCAAAGUGGGGGAUCGCAAGACCUCACGCUUUUGGAGAAGCCUACGUCGGAUUAGCUAGUUGGUGAGGUAAUGGCUCACCAAGGCGACGAUCCGUAACUGGUCUGAGAGGAUGAUCAGUCACACCGGAACUGAGACACGGUCCGGACUCCUACGGGAGCAGCAGUGGGAAUAUGGACAAUGGGCGCAAGCCUGAUCCAGCAAUGACCGCGUGUGUGAAGAACGGCCUU
rnacentral:rRNA from 1 species